AUUGAACGCUGGCGGCAGGCCUAACACAUGCAAGUCGAGCGAGCGGCGGACGGGUGCGUAAUGUAUGGGGACUGCCCGAUAGAGGGGGAUAACUACUGGAAACGUUGGCUAAUAACGCAUAAUGUCGGAUAACCCAUAUGGGAUUAGCUAGUAGGUAAGGUAAUGGCUUACCUAGGCGACGAUCCCUAGCUGGUCUGAGAGGAAGAUCAGCCACACUGGGACUGAGACACGGCCCAGACUCCGACGGAGGCAGCAGUGGGGAAUAUUGCACAAUGGGCGCAAGCCUGAUGCAGCCAUGCCGCGUGUAUGAAGAAGGCCCUAGGGUUGUAAAGUACUGUCAGUCGGGAGGCGUUACCGACAGAAGAAGCACCGGCUAACUCCGUGCCAGCAGCCGCGGUAAUAC
rnacentral:rRNA from 1 species